rnacentral:rRNA from 1 species
GACGAACGCUGGCGGCGUGCUUAACACAUGCAAGUCGUACGGUAAGGCCCUUUCGGGGGUCCACGAGUGGCGAACGGGUGAGUAACACGUGAGUAACCUGCCCACAACUUUGGGAUAACGCUAGGAAACUGGUGCUAAUACUGGAUAUGUGCUCCUGCUGCAUGGUGGGGGUUGGAAAGCUCCGGCGGUUGUGGAUGGACUCGCGGCCUAUCAGCUUGUUGGUGGGGUAGUGGCCUACCAAGGCGGCGACGGGUAGCCGGCCUGAGAGGGUGACCGGCCACAUUGGGACUGAGAUACGGCCCAGACUCCUACGGGAGGCAGCAGGGGGGAAUAUUGCACAAUGGGCGCAAGCCUGAUGCAGCAACGCCGCGUGCGGGAUGACGGCCUUCGGGUUGUAAACCGCUUUCAGCAGGGACGAAGCUUUUUGUGACGGUACCUGCAGAAGAAGCACCGGCCAACUACGUG